UCACCAUUUUUCACCUGGGAGAGUGCAGACGUUUUUGGGCGAGUUGGAGGAGAUUUUGCGGAUUAUUACGGAGGAAAAGUAUGAGUUGUUGUUUUUAUUAUUGAAAUUUAUUGAAACAAUGCAACCUAGAAAACCUCAACGAAAAGUCAGCGAGCUGCUCCGUCGUUCGCACCGUCAUUUGGGGUGAAAUUACACUUUGGUGAUCCGAAGUACAAGAAGGAAGAAAGAGGAGGAGUUAAGGGAAGAGGAAACGCUAACGUAGGAAAGGA